UAUGACCGUUGUGAUAAGGAAUACCAUGGACAUAAUUUAGGUUGAAGAAAAUAUAAGUGGAAAACAACAGUUGUGAUAGGGAUUAUCAAACACAUAAUUCAGGUUGAAGAAAAUAUAAGUGGAAAACAACAGUUGUGAUAGGGA